AGCUUCACGUGUUUUAACUUUGUCAGAGCACUUUGAAAAAGUUCGGAGAGCGGUGCCUCUUCGAUUUUCGAACAAGCAAUCCUGUUGAGGAUCUGGCUCUCGAGAUUCAGAGAACGGUGCCUCUUUGAUUUUUGAGAAAGCAAUCCUAUUGGGAGUCUGACUCUUGAGAUUCGGAGAGCAGUGUCUCUUCGAUUUUUGAGAAAGUAAUCAUGUUGGAAGUCUGGCUCUCGAGAUUCGGAGGGCAGUGCCUCUUCGAUUUUUGAGCACGUAAUCCUAUUGGGAGUCUGGCUCUCGAGAUUCGAAGAACGGUGCCUUUUCGAUUUUUGAAAAAGCAAUCAUGUUGGGAGUCUGACUCUUGAGAUUCGGAUUGCAGUGUCUCUUCGAUUUUUAAGAAAGUAAUCUUGUUGGGAGUCUGGCUCUCGAGAUUCGGAAGGCGGUGCCUCUUCAAUUUUUUAGCACGUAAUCCUGUUGGGAGUCUGGCUCUCGAGAUUCAGAGAGCAGUGCCUUUUCGAUUUUUGAGCAAGCAAUCUUAUUGGGAGUGUUUUCUCGAAUGUGAGUAAAGGUUGGGCAUUUUUGCCAGUCUGCCUUGCCACGGAGCAUGGAGGUUGACACACAUUGGGACUUUCUAGUUAUCAAGCAGUGGUGCUGUUCCUUUACCCUUGUGGGUAAUAGUAGGGUAGCUGGACCUUCAAAAUUUAUGUGUCUAAACUUUGUCAGGGAUCUUUGGCAAAGUUAUCUGUGGUACCUGAGGAGCUGAUGUUGCUUGUGGAAAGUUGUGCCUUUUCGGAAUCCGGAGAGUGGUGUCUCUACAAUUUUUGAACCAACGGCCUUAUUGCCCUUUCUUUUAUAAGGGCACCAAUUGUGUGCAAGAAGUAUAUUCAGAGAGUUAUUGCUUGUAGGAAUUUUCCCCUU
rnacentral:lncRNA from 1 species